GCCACCUUAGCUCAACGGCAGAGCAACUGUUUUGUAAACAGUAGGUUGUCGGUUCGAAUCCGACAGGUGGCUCCA
rnacentral:tRNA from 2 species